CUUCAUUAAAAUGAUGGCAGCCGGCAGUGGUAUUGCCCAUGGAAUAAUGGCCUUUUGGCCACCAGAGGCCUCUAUCAUUCUCUGUGGACCCAACCUUAACACUAGGCAUCUUCAAGUCGACAAGACUGCGAGGACCCAGAAAUGGUGGACGUACGAGAAAGAGCUGACUCUUGAAGUUGAGCCAAGUGCCUUUCAAUCAUGGGAU